rnacentral:rRNA from 1 species
CAGUCGCCGCGGGAAUACAGAGGGUGCGAGCGUUAAUCGGAUUUACUGGGCGUAAAGCGUGCGUAGGCGGCCUCUUAAGUCGGAUGUGAAAUCCCUGAGCUUAACUUAGGAAUUGCAUUCGAUACUGGGAAGCUAGAGUAUGGGAGAGGAUGGUAGAAUUCCAGGUGUAGCGGUGAAAUGCGUAGAGAUCUGGAGGAAUACCGAUGGCGAAGGCAGUCAUCUGGCCUAAUACUGACGCUGAGGUACGAAAGCAUGGGGAGCAAACAGGAUUAGAGACCCGUGUAGUCCCUGUUUCUUAUAC